UACGUAGGGUGCGAGCGUUGUCCGGAAUUACUGGGCGUAAAGCGAGUGUAGGCGGUUUUCUAAGUCAGGUGUGAAAGCCCCGGGCUCAACCCGGGAAGUGCACUUGAAACUGGAAGGCUAGAGUAUCGGAGAGGUUGGUGGAAUUCUCGGUGUAGAGGUGAAAUUCGUAGAUAUCGAGAGGAACACCGGUGGCGAGGGCGGCCAACUGGACGAAUACUGACGCUGAGACUCGAAAGCGUGGGGAGCAAACAGG
rnacentral:rRNA from 1 species